rnacentral:rRNA from 1 species
GAAACUCAAAUGAAUUGACGGGACCCGCACAAGCGGUGGAUGAUGUGGUUUAAUUCGAUGCAACGCGAAAACCUUACCCACCUUUGACAUGGCAGGAAUCCUAAAGAGAUUUGGGAGUGCUCGAAAGAGAACCUGCACACAGGUGCUGCAUGGCUGUCGUCAGCUCGUGUCGUGAGAUGUUGGGUUAAGUCCCGCAACGAGCGCAACCCUUGCCAUUAGUUGCUACGAAAGGGCACUCUAAUGGGACUGCCGGUGACAAACCGGAGGAAGGUGGGGAUGACGUCAAGUCCUCAUGGCCCUUAUAGGUGGGGCUACACACGUCAUACAAUGGCCGGUACAGAGGGUAGCCAACCCGCGAGGGGGAGCCAAUCCCGCAAAGCCGGUCGUAGUCCGGAUCGCAGUCUGCAACUCGACUGCGUGAAGUCGGAAUCGCUAGUAAUCGCGGAUCAGCAUGUCGCGGUGAAUACGUUCCCGGGUCUU